CCCUAUGGGGUGCAGCCGGCGUUUGUAGAAAAAGGUGCUGUGCAAUGUGGUUACUGUACACCCGGGUUUGUCAUGUCGGCCGCAAAAUUACUGGAGGCAUAUCCUCAGCCCAGCCGCGAACAAAUUCAGCAGGCAAUCACCGGCAAUCUUUGCCGGUGUACGGGUUAUUACAAAAUUGUUGAGGCGAUUGAGCUGGCUGCUUUAUUAAAAGAGCAAGGAGGAGUAAAUCAUGGGUAAGCAUUAUGGUGGCAGUCUUCGGCAGGCCGAUCCGGGCCCAUCUCGGCCCGACAUUCACCCUGUCUGGCGUGGAAUUGGCGGGAGAGC
rnacentral:rRNA from 1 species